UCAGCCCACUCCAAUCACCCUCUGUGUUUAUCCCCCGGACACAAACGCAUACUUUCUCUCUCUCCGCUGAGAUUAAGACUGCUGUGACAGUUCUACCUGAGAUAUAUCUGGGCCAUGGUAAACUUGUGCAGGGCACUGUUUAUUCCGCUGGCUCCUCGAAUCAUCACAAAGUGGAGAGCGCGCCAAAGCAUUCCUCCAUUGACAGCAUGCUCAGAAACCUCCCCACUUGUGCUGAGCGCAGCACGCCCACGCAGAAACGAGCCUGCACACAAUCAGGAAUCAAAACACCUGGAUUUGACGAGAGGGAGCGAGAUAAAAGACCAGUGAAGCCAAGAGUCCUUCGCCAGAACGUAGCCAAUCUCCUUUGAUGUUUUCUGUGAUCGUGUCCUGCCUCACGACCUCCUCCUGGAUCUUUGCUUGCCCUCCCCGAUCCUGGACCACUGCUUGGAACCGGACAUCGUUGCCUCUCUCCAGCCCCCGACCGCUUGCCUCGCUGUUGACUGCCUCUUUACCUUCCCCCUUGGAUUUGACGAAAAAUACAUCCAACACGCAAAGACUACGCCCUCUGCACUUGAGCGCUACUUGAGCUGAAAAAUUCACAGUAAAUCCGCACUCAUCAUACACAAAAAAAACUUCCUGGUGAUGUUCAGAGCCAAGUUUUAUGCAGGUUGUGGACGACUUUCCCUGUCGCUGCUCGGGUUCCAUGGACCACCCAGGAAAGACAUGCUUGAGCAGUGUGAAGAGAUAAGUCAAUCGUGUGCUGGUGCGCGAUCCACGCACCUGAAUUAGAUUGUGACGUCGCUCCUGGCACGGCCCGCCUCUCCGCUCCGCCGCAUUCUCCGCCCCCUUGCCGCCAUCUUGGGCAGGGCACUCUGGAGCCCUGCCCCGCUGCUCGUUCACCGGUUCCGCCUCUUUACACAGGGCAUCAGCAGCAUGAGAGGGGAGAGAGGAACGAGAGACACGAGAACCAGAAGACACAGCACAUGCAACGCGGAAAAGAGCGAGAGCGAGAAGGAGAGCGAGAGGCAGACUGAAAAGUCACCAGAAAAAGAUUGUCUUUAUUGAAGAAUAAAGAAGUCUACACCUGUU